rnacentral:rRNA from 1 species
ACAUGCCUACAACAUAGUGUUAAUACACCAUAUCCCAUUAGAACUCUACAGGUAAGCGCGCUCAUGCUAGAUUAGUAAUGGGAUGGGUGACCACUCGAGAAGUCCUAAUAUUUUACAUUCC